rnacentral:miRNA from 14 species
UGUGUGUGUGUGUGUGUGUGUGUGUGUGUGUGUGUUAUCGAGGCCUGUAUGAUGUUAAUAGAGGGUAAUGAUAUGGACUAUAAUUGUUAUGCUGGCUAACCUACCAUGAAGGGAGGCGUCUUCUCUGAAUUAUAAACCCUACACACACACACACACACACACGCACACGCACACG